rnacentral:rRNA from 1 species
UUUUGACCGUGCAAAGGUAGCGCAAUCACUUGUCUUUUAAAUGAAGACCUGUAUGAAUGGCCAAACGAGGGCUUAACUGUCUCCCCUUUCAGGUCAAUGAAAUUGAUCUAUCCGUGCAGAAGCGGGUAUAAAAAUACAAGACGAGAAGACCCUUUGGAGCUUAAGGUACAAACCCACCCACGUCAAACAACUUAACAAAAAGCACGAACUUAAUGGAAACUGGGAUAUUACCUUCGGUUGGGGCGACCACGGAGGAAAGAAAAGCCUCCGAGUGGACUGGGAAUAUUCCCAAAGCCAAGAGAAACAUCUCUAAGCCACAGAACAUCUGACCAACUAUGAUCCGGCCACAAGGCCGAUCAACGAACCAAGUUACCCUAGGGAUAACAGCGCAAUCCUCUCCCAGAGUCCAUAUCGACGAGAGG